CGCCAGACUCCUACGGGAGGCAGCAGUGAGGAAUAUUGGUCAAUGGGCGCAAGCCUGAACCAGCCAAGUCGCGUGAGGGAUGACGGUCCUAUGGAUUGUAAACCUCUUUUGUCGGGGAGCAAGGCCCGCCACGUGUGGCGGGAAGGAGAGUACCCGAAGAAAAAGCAUCGGCUAACUCCGUGCCAGCAGCCGCGGUAAUACGGAGGAUGCGAGCGUUAUCCGGAUUUAUUGGGUUUAAAGGGUGCGUAGGCGGUCCGUUAAGUCAGCGGUAAAAUUGCGGGGCUCAACUCCGUCGAGCCGUUGAAACUGGCAGACUUGAGUUGGCGAGAAGUACGCGGAAUGCGCGGUGUAGCGGUGAAAUGCAUAGAUAUCGCGCAGAACUCCGAUUGCGAAGGCAGCAUGCCGGCUCCACACUGACGCUGAGGCACGAAAGUGCGGGUAUCGAACAGGAUUAGAUACCCGUGUA
rnacentral:rRNA from 1 species